AUUAGUCGUCCACGAACCCGAUAGUGACUUGAGUCCGGUCUCUAACCGUCCACCGACCCUUUCGCUCCGCUUCGAGUUGAUCGCCCGCCUACAUAAGCAGACUGCCACCAGGUCAUAGUGUCUUCUCUCUGUCCGCUCUAUAUAAAACAUGCCCUAUCCAGAUAAAGAAAGGGUGGGAACCCUCCCCGUCCAUCAAACUCCAUCGCAUUCUUGCUCUCCCUCCGCUCGAAGGUUUUCCCGAUCUACUACCGGGCUUCACCUCCGAUGCCACCAUGUUCCUUCCGAGGCCGUUGCCACGGCCUCCGACCUCGUCGUGGUUGCCAACCCCGCCAUCGUCCAGGUGGCGAUCCAGGCCACCGUCGACUUGAUCUUGCUCAGCCCAAUCCAGGGAUAAAACCUCGAUUCGCUUUAUAACUUCCCGUCGCACAUAAAUGGACGGCCAGUUUCAGCUCGUCACGAAGGGCCUUCAAGAAGGGAAGGAGAUCCCACUCGAAAUUAAGAACACUAUUCCUCGAAGACACACCUUUCUCUGAGGAAGAAGCCGAAAGCUUGCCGGAUAUUACUCCUAUUCCUCGUCAGGCCGGUGGGACCCACGCGGCGAUGAACGGGUGCGGACGCGGCGAUGGAUCGUCUGGUGGAUAAGCAUUGAUUCGCCACGCGAUUGACCGUACCCGCCGGACCGCCCGCCAGACUUGGUAGGAAUUUAGUCUCUGGCCCACUGGUGGGCCCAGACGAUGAGCUGCAUAUGGGAAUGCCACAAACGCCGAUUAGGUAAGCGUAUGCAUUUUAUAUCUUAAAAAAAUAUAAAUUAAAAAUUUCCUUAUCUAAGAAGAGGGCUAAUUAUAAUAUUAUCAUAAUAAUUAAUUAUUUUUAAUAUUCGAAUAUCUACUUAUAUUAGCAUCCCUAUAAUUAUGAAAGUAAAAUAUUUAGAUUUAUUUCUCAUAACAUCGUUAAUUUUAUCAAUUUUAUAACGAUAUCGUUAGGGUCGCGGAUAGUUAUUGUGGAUGAAGAGAGUAAUGGUAAGCGAUGAUGGCUGUUUUGCAUUUGCAUCGAUGUCGUCAUCGGUGCAGUUUACAGAUAUAGAGCGACGUUAGUCAACAUCUCUAUCGGUGGUCUUUCGUCCUAUCAUAUGGUAAUUGCAUUGAUGUGACACAAAUAUAAAGUGACUCUUAUUUCUUUAUUAUUUCCUAAGCAAAAUGCUCUUCCUUCAUCAUGUCUUCCUAAAUCUGGAAAUUGCUUAUCCAUUCUCAUUAGACCAGACCUUUAUUUGCAAGUUCUAUAUAUGGUGCUAUCAAAAUAUUUUCUUAAAUGAUCUUAUUUAGAUACCAAAGUGACAUGGAUAAUCCUGACACCUUCCCGUUCCUCUUGCCACAUAAACGACACAUAAGGCAAAAGGUCUCGAGCCACCUACUUCUUAUGGUCGCCAAUAAGAGGUCAUGUCGCUUCACUUGGAUUCCCAAAAUGAGUACCCAAGACCUAUUCCUCAUCAAUCUCGUAGUUGAAAAGAUAAACUUGGCUCUGCAUUACUGGUCGAUGACAUGACUCGGCUUCACUAAUCUUUCAUUCCAAAUGAACGAUGAUAAGACCGUAUCCUGCCUGACCCAAAUAAGUAAGAAAGUCAUACCAAAGGCACCAUCUCGUUAGUGAUAAGACGUUGUCCCUAUGAAUAUAUGCUAGUAAGCCAUCUGCAUUAAAUGUCUCCGUUACGUCGGGUUAAGGGAGCAUUAACGAAGAAUCAUCAACUCUGCCUAAUGCCCAAGUAUAAAAGCUAAGCCCUAAGCCAAACCAGGACGAGCAGAAAAAAGAAACUCUUUACUCUCUUGAUUAUUCUAGUGUCUUCCUCUCUCUUCAACGGAGAAAUCGAGCUGGGAUGCUCUUGACACAUAUCAGUUGUGUAGGAUCCUCGAUGCCAUCCGAAAAUUCGGCUAGGAAGCAAUUCGAUAGCUAGGAGAACCCAGUUCUUCCCACCCGGCUUCACCGCCCCAAGGUCUGAAUACUCCCAACAGAUCUCUUCCCUAGUGGGCUCUUCGCAGCGGACGACCAUAUUGCCGUAUGUGUACAGCAUAGUAUACCGUAUGUUGUCCACGAUGUCAGAUCCAUCUGACGACCGUAUGCGUACAGCAUAGUAUACCACAUGUUGUCCACGAUGUCAGAUCCAUCCGACGUGUAUUUGGACGCUUCCAUUUCAGCCAAUGCAGUGGAGCUCAUCGCGUUGACAAACCAUCAAAUAAUAGAUCGUUUUUGAUAAUUUCCAUGAUGACUAGGUAUAUUAGUGUACCCCUUCUAGUCUUGUAAACCUAACCAACAUCGUAGCAACGAAACUGGACGCCCAGUAAUAAAAAAACCAUUAAUUGCUGUCGAUAGAAGAACCAUAAUGUGUCUGUGCAACAAACGAUCCUCACAAGUUCGUAAUUAUUUUACCCACUGGGAUGAGAGGAUCAUUAAGUCUCUCUUUUUGUUUGUUUUUGUUCUAAUUAAGUAUGGAUUCGUGAACGAAACUCUUACUAUUACCUUGUACCGGUGAUGAUUAUUAUUUUUUUUUUUGCCUGAAUAUUUUAAAUGGACCUCAUAUUGCGACCAUCCAAUGAUGUCGAUGAGGUGGAUAAGACAAUGGAGGCGGGGAAACAUGCAUUUGCCCUGCCGUAAAUAUCAGCGUAUCUAGGAAGGCGACAUAUUUUCCGGGUUUGGCGUGGCCGUAUAUUUUGCGGCGAAGAGCAGUUCAUAAAUGCUUGCACCGGCUCACGCAGACGGUAGUCUGUCUCCGGAUGUGUGACUGUGAGCUGAUCGAUGGUGUGGAUCUCGGAAAGGAUGCACCGGCGGGAUAUGCCACCGCAUUCCCGGGUCGUCUGAUAGAUAUCUUUUGACCCUUGUGAAGCUUCCACUAAUCCGUUACCUUCCCACAUCAAGCAUGGUUGCUCCCUGAUCUCUGCAUUCCCCUAUCCGGGCAAUGAUGCGGCCUCCCCCUUUUCGACCCCCAUCGGCCUCAAGUUAUAGUUCGACCUAAACCAAAGCGAAGCAAGCGGCGGUGCUGAUGGCAACAGACAGAGGAACGCAGUCGACCGCGUGUAGAGCAAAUUCAACGAUGGAAGACUUCUUCGGGUGCAAAAUGAUGUAGGCUCCGCUCUUCCGUUUCUUCUUCUUCCUUGCUCUCUUCUUGUUUCCGUGGCAAGCUGCAGCAACGGAGGGCAAGAGGACAACGUUCAUGUUUCUGGUGGAUACCAGGAUGAGGCCCUCCCCUUUCCCCUCCGACCGCCAUUGGUACUUCUCUCUUCUUUCCUCUACCUCUUCUCGUCUCCUCCACCACUACCAGUCUCUCCUGCACGGCUUCUCCACCUCCCUCACUCCUUCCCAGGCGAGAGCUAUCGGCGGCCACCGGGGUGUCGUCGCCGUCAGUCCCGACUCCCUCCUCCGCCCCCACACCACUCGAUCCCCCUCCUUCCUCGACCUCGACCUUCCCGGCUCCCACCUCUCCGCCCUCUCCCACCGCGGCUCCGCCGCCGUCAUCGGAUUCAUCGACACCGGCAUAUGGCCGGAGCGACUUCUCCGAUCGCGUUCUCGACCCGCCUCCACGCCGCUGGCGCGCGGAGUGCGAGGAGGGCCCGGGUUUCAACCGCUCCCACUGCAACCGCAAGUAUCCGCCCUAUCCUUCUCCGACGGCUACGCGGCCACGUUCGACGUCG